UCUGAAAUAGCCCAUUUGGUAGAGCGUCAGACUAUAGAUCGAAAGGUCCUUGGAUCGAUCCCGGGUUCCGCCA
rnacentral:tRNA from 1 species